rnacentral:rRNA from 1 species
GACGAACCGUGCGAACGUUGUUCGGAAUCACUGGGCUUAAAGGGCGCGUAGGCGGGCGGGCAAGUCAGGGGUGAAAUCCCACGGCUCAACCGUGGAAGUGCCUUUGAUACUGCCGGUCUGGAGGGAGGUAGGGGCGUGCGGAACUUCCGGUGGAGCGGUGAAAUGCGUAGAUAUCGGAAGGAACACCGGUGGCGAAAGCGGCGCGCUGGACCGCUACUGACGCUGAGGCGCGAAAGCCAGGGGAGCAAACGGG